AGCGAACGCUGGCGGCAGGCCUAACACAUGCAAGUCGAACGAACUCUUCGGAGUUAGUGGCGGACGGGUGAGUAACACGUGGGAACGUGCCUUUAGGUUCGGAAUAACUCAGGGAAACUUGUGCUAAUACCGAAUGUGCCCUUCGGGGGAAAGAUUUAUCGCCUUUAGAGCGGCCCGCGUCUGAUUAGCUAGUUGGUGAGGUAAAGGCUCACCAAGGCGACGAUCAGUAGCUGGCCUGAGAGGAUGAUCAGCCACAUUGGGACUGAGACACGGCCCAAACUCCUACGGGAGGCAGCAGUGGGGAAUCUUGCGCAAUGGGCGAAAGCCUGACGCAGCCAUGCCGCGUGAAUGAUGAAGGUCUUAGGAUUGUAAAAUUCUUUCACCGGGGACGAUAAUGACGGUACCCGGAGAAGAAGCCCCGGCUAACUUCGUG
rnacentral:rRNA from 1 species